rnacentral:lncRNA from 1 species
UAACGUGAUAAUUUUAUGUUUUUUUUUUUCAGAAUCAAAAUAUUAUUUUACAAACACACUCGUUUCCGUAAGAUUUAUUAGUAAUACGCUUAAUUUUAUGCAUAUACCGACUUUUUUUUUUUUUUUCACUCGUAUGCUGUUCGGGUCUUAUAAGAUUGUGUGCAUUACAAGGUUUUUGUAAUUACUGAAACAUACGAAAAAUUAAAAGAAGAAAUUAGAAAAGGUAAGAAAAUAACAAUACUAAAUAAAUAAUUGGAAAUGAGGAAUCACACAUGGAUUCCAUUCGAUGACAUUGCACUGG